AUACGGAGGAUCCGAGCGUUAUCCGGAUUCAUUGGGUUUAAAGGGUGCGCAGGCGGCCAUUUAAGUCAGCGGUUAAAUCGUGGGGCUCAACCCCAUUCUGCCGUUGAUACUGGGUGGCUUGAUUGCGGUCGAGGUUGGCGGAAUUCGUUGUGUAGCGGUGAAAUGCAUAGAUAUGACGAAGAACACCGAUUGCGUAGGCAGCUGACCAGACCGCAAAUGACGCUCAUGCACGAAAGUGCGGGGAUCGAACAGGAUUAGAUACCCUGGUAGUCCGCACAGUAAACGAUGAAUACUUGUUUUCGGCGAUAUAAUGUCGGAGGCAAAGCGAAAGCGAUAAGUAUUCCACCUGGGGAGUACGCCGGCAACGGUGAAACUCAAAUGAAUUGGCGGGG
rnacentral:rRNA from 1 species